rnacentral:rRNA from 1 species
AGAGUUUGAUCCUGGCUCAGGAUGAACGCUGGCGGCGUGCCUAACACAUGCAAGUCGAACGAAGCUUGACGGAUGAUUUCUUCGGAAUGAAACCAGAUAUGACUUAGUGGCGGACGGGUGAGUAACACGUGAGCAACCUGCCUUUCAGAGGGGGAUAACGGCUGGAAACGGUCGCUAAUACCGCAUGACGUGUUCGGAUGGCAUCAUCUGAACAUCAAAGAUUUAUCGCUGAAAGAUGGGCUCGCGUCUGAUUAGAUAGUUGGUGGGGUAACGGCCUACCAAGUCUACGAUCAGUAGCCGGACUGAGAGGUUGAACGGCCACAUUGGGACUGAGAUACGGCCCAGACUCCUACGGGAGGCAGCAGUGGGGAAUAUUGGGCAAUGGGGGGAACCCUGACCCAGCAACGCCGCGUGAAGGAAGAAGGCUUUCGGGUUGUAAACUUCUUUUACCAGGGACGAAGGACGUGACGGUACCUGGAGAAAAAGCCACGGCUAACUACGUGCCAGCAGCCGCGGUAAUACGUAGGUGGCAAGCGUUGUCCGGAUUUACUGGGUGUAAAGGGCGUGUAGGCGGAGAAGCAAGUCAGAAGUGAAAUCCAUGGGCUUAACCCAUGAACUGCUUUUGAAACUGUUUCCCUUGAGUAUCGGAGAGGCAGGCGGAAUUCCUAGUGUAGCGGUGAAAUGCGUAGAUAUUAGGAGGAACACCAGUGGCGAAGGCGGCCUGCUGGACGACAACUGACGCUGAGGCGCGAAAGCGUGGGGAGCAAACAGGAUUAGAUACCCUGGUAGUCCACGCUGUAAACGAUGAAUACUAGGUGUGCGGGGACUGACCCCCUGCGUGCCGCAGUUAACACAAUAAGUAUUCCACCUGGGGAGUACGAUCGCAAGGUUGAAACUCAAAGGAAUUGACGGGGGCCCGCACAAGCGGUGGAUUAUGUGGUUUAAUUCGACGCAACGCGAAGAACCUUACCAGGGCUUGACAUCCUACUAACGAAGUAGAGAUACAUCAGGUGCCCUUCGGGGAAAGUAGAGACAGGUGGUGCAUGGUUGUCGUCAGCUCGUGUCGUGAGAUGUUGGGUUAAGU